AUUGAACGCUGGCGGCAUGCCUUACACAUGCAAGUCGAACGGUAGCGGGCCUUCGGGUGCCGACGAGUGGCGAACGGGUGAGUAAUGUAUCGGAACGUACCUUUCAGUGGGGGAUAACGUAGCGAAAGUUACGCUAAUACCGCAUAUUCUGUGAGCAGGAAAGCAGGGGAUCGCAAGACCUUGCGCUGAUUGAGCGGCCGAUAUCAGAUUAGCUAGUUGGUGAGGUAAAGGCUCACCAAGGCGACGAUCUGUAGCGGGUCUGAGAGGAUGAUCCGCCACACUGGAACUGAGACACGGUCCAGACUCCUACGGGAGGCAGCAGUGGGGAAUUUUGGACAAUGGGGGCAACCCUGAUCCAGCCAUGCCGCGUGAGUGAAGAAGGCCUUCGGGUUGUAAAGCCCUUUCGGCCGGGAAGAAAUCGUAUGGGUUAAUACCCUGUGCGGAUGACGGUACCGGCAUAAGAAGCACCGGCUAACUACGUGCCAGCCGCCGCGGUAAUAC
rnacentral:rRNA from 1 species